CAAAUGCAAGUUAUUUAAUCAACAAUUAAUUUUAAAAAGAAUAAGGAAAAAUGGGAAAGGUUAAAGGAAACACAUCAACCCGCUCUGUGGCAGGAAACAUCACGAACAGUGUCUCUGGAAUGUCAGGGCAGUUCACAGUCUGUUCCUUGUAAGUCCCAGGCUUUCUUCUCCGGCCCUGGUUUUGCUGCAGGGAUGCUCUGGUGGUGGCCACACGCUCAGGCUCUAAGUGGUAGGACCCUUCUUUCCAGUGUCGGCCCCGCCCUGUCAGGAUUGGAUCCAAGCCUGGCCUGCAGAACCUCUUGGCUGAGGUGUCUCCCUGUGCUGGGCCCGCUGCCCAGGGUCCCCCUCGAUCUCCCUAGCUGCUCACCGCACCCAGCUCCACCACUCUGUCUCUGUUGCUCUGCCUCCAGCUCCCUGGGCUGCUUCUCUGGCCCCUCUGGCUCUGGUUGCUGCAGCUCUGCUCCCAGGACAGAUCUGCACUGCAGGCUGCUUCUGUGACUCUGCUCCCAGCACUGACCUGCUUCAUGGGCUUUUUUUCUGGUCCUUCUGGAUCUGGCACAGCUCUGCUCCCCAGCUUAGCUUGGGCCCCUGCUUUCUCCUUAGUUCAGCCCCACUCUGUCUGACCUAGGCAAAUCCAACUCACACAGAGGAUGGGACCUCCUUGGCCUCCUGACUCCCUGCUUAGCCUGCUCGCCCUGUCAUUCAGGCUGACCUGGAGCAUUGGCCUCUCCCCAUUGUUCCUGGGGGCUGUCAGUCUCAGGGUUCUGAUUCCCCACCAACCCUUUCCCCUUUUUAGUAUUGGGAGCUAGCAACUAAAACAGCCCCACUGAAUGUUAGUAAGGGGGCAACAGUCCCCUUCCAUGUAUUUGACACUGGUGCAAUUGCUGCUGGAUCCUCUAGCCAGUUCUGGUGACCACAAAUAAAGAAGGAUGUUGCUAAAUUAUAGAGGGCUCAGAGAAAAGCCACGAGAAUGAUUAGAGAGUUAGAAAACUUGGCUUUAAGUGGUUUUCUCAAGGAGCAAACUGUAUUUAGUUUAACAAAGAGAAGGUUAAGGACUGACUUGAUUAGUCUACAAUUACCUACACAGGGAACAAAUAUCUAAUCUAUCAGAGAAAGAUAUAUCACAAUCCAAUGACUGGACGUUGAAGCCAGGGCCGGCUGUAGGCACCAGCUAAGUAAGCUUGUGCCUGGGGCGGCGCUGCUGAAGGGGCAGCACUCCGGCUGUCGUUGGGGUGGAACUCUGGCAGCAGCCCCGGCGGCAAUUUGGCAGCAGCUCCUCUCCGUUGUUUCCCGCAGAGGCAAUUCAGUGGCGACUCUUCUGACAUGGGUCUUGCCGUCAGUGGCAAUUCAGCGGCAGCUCCCUCCGAUGUUUCUGUUCUCUCCGGCGGCGGCAUAUUCAUCAGGAUUCUGUGUAGCAUCCAUCAUCAUACCAUCUAAGACACCAAUCCUUCAAACACUUAUGUAUGUUCCUAAUGUUAUGCAUGACCUAUUGAGGUCCCUUCCAGUCCCAUGAUUCUAUAGCUUCAAUGACUGCCACAGAAACUGGUGAUGCUGUGAUGAAGAUGAGACAAACAAGAAGGAAGAAUGGAUGAUGCAGAAAGUGCAUAAAAAUUGCAAGGUGCUGCUGGCAUUCGCUGAUCAGCUCCACAUGAUCGAGUGGCACUUCUGGGCCCAUGAAAUGAGGAUGACGUGGUGCAACUAUAUUGUGAGGCAGAUCUGAGAUGAGCAGUAGUUGCUGUAGAACUUUAAAAUACAAAGACCACUUUCCUGGGGUUGUGUGUUGAGCUCGCCUGAGCCCUCCAUUGCAGAGACAUCAGAAUGAGAGCUGCUUUGACCGUAGAAAAGAGGGGCCUGCUUUGACUGUAGGAAAGAGUGUGUGCUCUAGAAGUUUGCAAUCCCAGGCUGCUAUCAGUCAAUGGACAAUGAGUUCAGUGUUGGAAAAUCCAUGGUGGGGGCGGUUGUCAUCCAGGUGUGCGUGGCUAUUAAACGUGUAUAGUAUUGUGACUCUGGGCAAUGUGCAGGAAAUAAUAGAGGGACUUGAAGCAAUGGACUUCCUGAACUGUGGUGGGGUAAUAGGCUGCAUAGCCUGAUUCUGCUGCCUGCUCCCCCACACCUUACUGCUUAGUACAUAAACAGAAAGGGGUACUUGUGCCUGGUUAUGAAAGCACUUGUGUAUUACUGGAGGGUGUUUCACUGACAUUAAUGAUGGCUGGUCAGGGAAGACAUGACGCUCAUGUCUUUAAGAAUACAGCACUUUCUGAAAAGAUGUAAGCAGGGAUGCUUAUCCUGUACCAGCACCACCACAUUAGCACUGCUAGAAUGCAGUGACAUUUGCCAGAGUACAAUCCAGACUGCUGGACAGCUAUGUUCCCUCAAUUCUCCAAGCCGGGGUGCCUUUUACACUGCUUUGCUUUGAGAGAAACCUCUCCUGGCCUGCUCACAGGCAACCUCUAGCAUGUAAAUUACUCCCAGCUGAGUUAUAGGUGUGUUCCUAUCCAGCCACUCCUGAAUUAUAUUCUAGAGCAAUACCGGCAAAUUCUCAGUACCAGACUUGUCCCCAGAAAUGUGCAUCUUGUACUGCUCAGCACCCUCUGCUGGGCAGUACAAGCUCACAGAAAAUGAAAUGACAGACUAACAGAAAAUGAUAUAUACAAACCCUCUUAUCUCACAUGGAGAGUCCAAACACUUCAAUCCAAACACACACAAACAUGUUUAUCAACUACAGAAAGAUAAAUUUUAAGUGAUUACAAAUAAUGAGGCAUAAAAGUCAGAAUUGGUUACAAAGAAAUAAAAGGUAAAACACAAACUAAUACCUAACUUAAAAAGCUAAGUGAACUUGAAGCAAAAAGGUUUU